rnacentral:tRNA from 1 species
GCGGGAAUAACUCAAUGGUAGAGUGUCAGCUUCCCAAGCUGAAGGUUGCGGGUUCAAAUCCCGUUUCCCGCUCCA